ensembl:miRNA
GGAAAUGUUCUAGCCAAAAAAGUUUGCCAAGAACCAUUGUGUCUUUUUUUUUGCUGGAACAUUUCUGG